CCUACGGGUGGCAGCAGUGGGGAAUAUUGGACAAUGGGCGAAAGCCUGAUCCAGCCAUGCCGCGUGUGUGAAGAAGGCCUUCGGGUUGUAAAGCACUUUCAGUGGGGAAGAAAGCCUUGUGCCUAAUACCCUCGAGGAAGGACAUCACCCACAGAAGAAGCACCGGCUAACUCCGUGCCAGCAGCCGCGGUAAUACGGAGGGUGCGAGCGUUAAUCGGAAUUACUGGGCGUAAAGCGCGCGUAGGCGGUUUGAUAAGCCGGUUGUGAAAGCCCCGGGCUCAACCUGGGAACGGCAUCCGGAACUGUCAGGCUAGAGUGCAGGAGAGGAAAGUAGAAUUCCCGGUGUAGCGGUGAAAUGCGUAGAGAUCGGAAGGAAUACCAGUGGCGAAGGCGACCAUCUGGACUGAUACUGACGCUGAGGUGCGAAAGCGUGGGUAGCAAACAGGAUUAGAUACCCGAGUAGUC
rnacentral:rRNA from 1 species